rnacentral:SRP_RNA from 1 species
GCCGGGUGUGGCGGCUCACACUUGUAAUCCCAACAUUUUGGGAGGCUGAAGUGGGAGGAUCGCUUGAGCCCAGGAGUUCUAGACCAGCCUGGGCAACAAAGUGAGACCCCAUCUCUA